rnacentral:misc_RNA from 1 species
AAAGAGCCAUCUUUAUCUUGAGAAGUUGGAACCUUAAGAUCCCCGAGAAUCUUACUAAAUUUGAAAUCUAUGCCAAUCUCUUUUAAGCCAUUCUCUGCAGCUUUGAACAAUUCGUUUGUUUUGGAAGAUUGGUCCAAUUUCAUCCUCUUUGACAAAGCACUUCUAAGUAAAGAUCCAAUUUGUUCUUUCUCCUUAACCAAUCGCCCUAUCGAUUCAUUCAAACUCUUUGCUUGAUGACUCUUCUCCUCCAACAAAUUCUUUGUUUUUUCCACAACAAUUCUAGUUAACUCAUAAAUUGAUUCCAUCCCUGCUAAAGAAGCACGUAUAUUCUCCUCCAUGUCCGUGUGUUGUGGAAGAAACAAGGACUCUGACAACUCUGAAUCUAGAUGAUUAGCAUCAACUAUCUUAAUAACAUCAUAAAGCCGGUCAUGAAUUUUGGCCACUAAAUUCAAUUGAUCAAUCAAU